rnacentral:rRNA from 1 species
GAUGAACGCUGGCGGCGUGCCUAAUACAUGCAAGUCGAGCGAAUGGAUUAAGAGCUUGCUCUUAUGAAGUUAGCGGCGGACGGGUGAGUAACACGUGGGUAACCUGCCCAUAAGACUGGGAUAACUCCGGGAAACCGGGGCUAAUACCGGAUAACAUUUUGAACCGCAUGGUUCGAAAUUGAAAGGCGGCUUCGGCUGUCACUUAUGGAUGGACCGGCGUCGCAUUAGCUAGUUGGUGAGGUAACGGCUCACCAAGGCAACGAUGCGUAGCCGGACUGGGACGGUGAUCGGCCACACUGGGACCGAGACACGGCCCAGACUCCUACGGGAGGCAGCAGUAGGGAAUCUUCCGCAAUGGACGAAAGUCUGACGGAGCAACGCCGCGUGAGUGAUGAAGGCUUUCGGGUCGUAAAACUCUGUUGUUAGGGAAGAACAAGUGCUAGUUGAAUAAGCUGACACCUUGACGGUACCUAACCAGAAAGCCACGGCUAACUACGUGCCAGCCGCCGCCGUAA